rnacentral:snoRNA from 1 species
AUAUUAUGGUUCGGACAUUGUGUCAGCUUCUUCUUAAAUCUCUCUCAUGUCUCAUGCAAAGCUUCAGUAGGGAGCUGUCUAAAGUUGUUGAUCUCAUCUCUCAACU